UUUUUGCGUUAGGGAUUGCAGUGGAAAUCCUUUUUGCUUUUUUAAGCAAAAAGAUUGUAGCGAAAAGCCCGACCUUGG
rnacentral:sRNA from 1 species